CCAGCCAACACCCCUUACAUCACAUGUAUCCAUGCCCCUUUUGUGUUGUCCGUAGCACGCAGGUGAACAAUAUGAACUUUCUGAAUCUGAACCACGUUGAGAGCUUGAUUUGUUCUCUAUACGGUAUCCGCGAGCUCGACCUUAACCAAGCGCCCCCCAGACCGUUGCCAUCUCGAGCUGUUGGCUUUGACUGAUUUAUUUAUGGUCCUUUCUUUGAUCAAUCUGAGAGUGUUCGCCAUUUUUCGUUUGAGUUUUCAGUUUUCAACAGGCGUGGGCUCAAUGGCUCAUAGAUACAAAUCUUUGACUGGCAGCAAGGGGUCCGGUUAGAUACACUCUGGGAUCCCAAUCUGAACCCCGUAUUUCUUUUAUCAGAACUGCUUGCAUCCCACACGCACACGCUACAGAUGGAGAACUGCAAAUCUAAAUCCAGUAUUGUUUGUUUAGUCACAAAUCGAUCUGAAACUAAAUUAAGGUUUCAUUGUGCUCUGCAGGGGCGUUUUGUUCUGAGAGUGUUUCGUGAGUUGCUUAGGAUGCACAUCAUUGAUUUCACAACCUGUACUGACUGAACAAAACAAUUUAGUCAAACUAUCAAUCUGGUCGAUCUCCACAUGUAUAUUGUUAGUCUAUUUUUGAAAAAGAAGUCCAUUCUGAGUUCGCCUUGUGUACAUUCAGUCGUUCAGAGCACCGUCUACUAUUUCGAUCCGAUAAUGCUGAUAGUCGAUUGACCCCUUUUGGGAGAGAGAUUGGUUUAAUAGAUGAUAGACGCUGGGAGCUUUAUAAGUCAAAACAAGCCCGGAUUAAAGAAGAAAAGGAACGAUUGAAGCAUACAAGAGUGUCAGGAGUUGAAUUUGCUGCCGAAGUUACUGCAGUAUCAAACCAACCUGUAAAGGAGUCGUCUACACUUGAAGCCAUACUGAAAAAGCCACAUGUACAAUAUAAACUUCUGGACAAGCACGGAUAUGGAAAUGAGCAUUUAUCUCCAAUUGAAAAAGACUGCAUGGAGAUUGAUAUCAAGUAUGAAGGUUUCAUCACACGACAGCAAAGUCAAUUACAGCAUGUAAUUUGUUUAUGGUCAUGUAAUUGUGUUCUGAAUUAAAUAUGCAAGGGAGUUUCUUUCAAGUGCAAGAGAAACUGUAAAUACAUGUUUAAGAAGCCUGACAGUGAUGGAUAUUGCACUUGCUGUGCAAGUAUCUGUCAUGGCAUGCAUGUUCUUUUUCUCGGUUGAGGAAAUUGUUUUUAGCUCUUUUGGUAGAUGUAGCUGAUCCUGUCCUUUUCUCCGUUGUAAUAAAGAAUGUCGGGGUUUUAAGUUUUUUA